ACAGAGGUGGUUCAGUGGUAGAAUUCUUGCUUUCCAUGCAAGAGACCAAGGUUCGAUUCCCAGGCUAUGCA
rnacentral:tRNA from 1 species